GGUGAUGAUGGCAGAGAGGUCACACCCGUUCCCAUACCGAACACGGAAGUUAAGCUCUCUAGCGCCGAUGGUAGUUGGGACCUU
rnacentral:rRNA from 1 species